CUACCUUGUGGCACCCUGGGCGGACCGCCCCCUUAGUACGCCACUGGACUGUUUUUAUAAUUACAUUUACUGUGAUCAGUGCUUGGCAGGGUCACCCAGUCAGGAUCUAUUCAGAGCCUGGGGUUCUUCCUGGUGGAACCUGCAGUCCAGAAACACAGCAGCUGAAAAAAAAUGUGAUCAUCCUCAGUGUUCUGAAUUAAU